rnacentral:rRNA from 1 species
CCUACGGGAGGCAGCAGUGAGGAAUAUUGGUCAAUGGGCGGGAGCCUGAACCAGCCAAGUCGCGUGAGGGCAGACGGUCCUAUGGAUUGUAAACCUCUUUAGGCGGGGAGCAAUGCCGGGCACGCGUGCCCGGAGGGAGAGUACCCGCAGAAUAAGCAUCGGCUAACUCCGUGCCAGCAGCCGCGGUAAUACGGAGGAUGCGAGCGUUAGCCGGAUUUAGUGGGUUUAAAGGGUGCGUAGGCGGAUUUUUAAGUCAGCGGUAAAAUGUCCGGGCUCAACCCGGGCCGGCCGUUGAAACUGGGGAUCUUGAGUGGGCGAGAAGUAUGCGGAAUGCGUGGUGUAGCGGUGAAAUGCAUAGAGAUCACGCAGAACUCCGAUUGCGAAGGCAGCAUACCGGCGCCCGACUGACGCUGAGGCACGAAAGCGUGGGGAUCGAACAGGAUUAGAUACCCGGGUAGUC